rnacentral:rRNA from 1 species
UACACUCCUGCGGGAGGCAGCAGUGGGGAAUUUUGGACAAUGGGCGAAAGCCUGAUCCAGCAAUGCCGCGUGAGUGAAGAAGGCCUUCGGGUUGUAAAGCUCUUUUGUCAGGGAAGAAACGGUGAAAGCUAAUAUCUUUUGCUAAUGACGGUACCUGAAGAAUAAGCACCGGCUAACUACGUGCCAGCAGCCGCGGUAAUACGUAGGGUGCAAGCGUUAAUCGGAAUUACUGGGCGUAAAGCGUGCGCAGGCGGUUUUGUAAGUCUGAUGUGAAAUCCCCGGGCUCAACCUGGGAAUUGCAUUGGAGACUGCAAGGCUAGAAUCUGGCAGAGGGGGGUAGAAUUCCACGUGUAGCAGUGAAAUGCGUAGAUAUGUGGAGGAACACCGAUGGCGAAGGCAGCCCCCUGGGUCAAGAUUGACGCUCAUGCACGAAAGCGUGGGGAGCAAACAGGAUUAGAAACCCCGGUAGUCCCAU